GCUCGAGCAAAUGUGUAGACAUGGCUAUCAAUUCUGAUGCAAUCAAAAGAUAAUACGUAUGAUUUCUUGGGUUAAAUUGUGUUUGUUUGUACUUGGCAUGUUUUGAAGAUUGGAAUGACGAAGGUAUUUUGUUCUGCUAUCUAAGCAUAUUAUCCUUUGUUACCCCUUUUGAGCCUAAUUUAUUUCCUUUCAUACCCCUCUUUUGGAAUCAGCAGUAAAGUUAAAGUUGAGAAAUGCAAACAUGAAAGAUAAAUAAAAGAAAAGAGAGAAAAUCAAGAAAAAUAAAGAAGGAAAAGAAAAAAAAGAAAAAAAGGAAAAAAAAGAAAAGAAAGAGAAAAGAAAAAAUCACAACAAGAAAACAAUUCUUAUAUAUGAACUAUGUUCGACUUGAUUCUUUUAAGGAUACGUAGGCAGCCUGACGGUUUGAUCCCAUGAAAAUAAAAAUUCAAAAGUCCCCAAGCAAAGAAAAUGGUGCAGAAGUUGUGGUUGUUGUAAGAAAUCUGAUUCCGAAAGUUGUAAUCUUGAACCCAUUUGAAUUGUUUUGAUCCUUUCGAUACUCUCUCUUUCUAACCCUAUCAGAAGGCCCACAUUACGGUCCAAAGAAAGACUUUCUAAUCAGUCUUCGAGAGAUGCCAAGUCGAGCAAGUAAAGGUGAUUCAUAUCAUGGGCAACACUCUGGUCCAAACAAGGAAAAUGAAAAAUGAGAGAGUCUUAUUUGUGAAAACCCUCGCGGGCACGGUAAGGUGACGAGAUCAUAGAGAAAUCAAAAAAAUGAGAGAGUUAUUGGCAAAAAACUCCCACGGGCACCGUAAGGCGACAGUGAGUUGAGAGGCGAACAAAUGAGAGAGGUUUGUUGGUGAAAAUAUUUCAGGGCACCACAAGCCGAACAAGGUCAGUAGUUUGGUGAAGAAAUUCGGUUUUUGAAGAUCACAAAGCAUAAAGUACGACAACCGAAAGUUGAUUGGUUGGAUAGACUGGGUCAUUAAUUUGAAAUUCAUGUCAUGAUCAUUGGUACCAGUUGCUCCACUCAGAUGAGUCUCUCUUAUUUUCCUUUCAAACAGUUAUCCAAUUUUGGAUUUUUCUUCUUUAUUCCUAAUUCUCAAAGUCAUUACAUUUCAUUUCUUUUGGGUUUAUUUUUACAAUAUAUGUUCAAUGUUAGUUGUGUUUAAGAAAAUAAGAAAGGAAUUCAAAGCUCAGUACCAACUUCUAAAGUUGCACAAAGUACAGUGUGUCCAAUGCAUUCUAGAGUUAGUACGAUGUAAAAUGGGAUAUAAAGGGUCAGCGGAAGUUCCGUCAAUAGAAUGGUUUUGUGAUUUCAUGGGAGAUAUAGAGGUCCAGAUAGAUGGAUUAGAGAUGUAACACAAUGAUUGGGUAUACAAAACUCAGGUCAUCCAAGGUCAUGUGGGUAAAAGUCAUCCAGAAAGUCAAGCGGUUCUUAGCCAGUUCGGGGAAGCCAGUCAAAGUAGAGCACGACAGCAGGAAGGCCACCCUUAGCGAGAAUUCCACAAAAUAACCACCAUAUUUAAAACUAACAAGAUUUUUCUUUAGUUGAAUCAGGGGCAGAAAAUUUCAUUUGUUUUGGAGAAACACUUCGCAAGGAAAGGCAAAGCACCAGACAGGUUUGACUGUAAAUUCUCACGACCCUCCUGGAAAAUGGGACCUAGUUUAAAAUGCAAAACAUCCAUGAAUAACAAGAUCUAGCAUAAGGUUUCCCCAAAUGAAUAUAAGUUGGAUUUGAAAUUUUCAUUGUUAGGAUAGGAUUCAAUUUGAAAUUUUCAGGACCCUCCUGAAUGAUGAGACUUAGCUUUUCCAAUAAAUAACAUGAUUUAGCGUAAGUUAUGUUGUAGGGUAGUAUAAUUAAACCAUAAAAGUUGUCAUUCUUAAUAUAAGACUUGAUUUUUUAUUUUCAGGACCCUCCUGAAUAAUGGGACCUCGCUUUGAAACUUCCAUUAGAUAACAAGAUCUAGCGUCAGUUCUGCUAUAGGGAAGUAUAAUUAGCCUUAACGUUGUCACUCUUAAGAUAGAUUUCAUUUUGAUUAUCAGGACCCUCCUGGAUAAUGGAACCAAGUUAAUUUUCAAGACCUUCAUAGAUAACAAGAUUUAGCUUAAGUUCUAUUUUUUGAAGUAUAAUUUAACAUUUUAAGUUUUUAACUUUUGAGAUGAAGCUUGGUUUGAAAUUUUCAGGAUAAGGGAAUUUAGCUUAAAACUUAUUUUUGAUAACAAGAAUGGUUAACACUCACAGAUGUUCCAAAUAUCAAACUGGGGCAGAAACUUCUUUUGUUUUGUCUGUUUUUGUUGAAAUCAGGUGCCCACCUGAAGAACCGGGGAGGACAAUGCAAGUUUCAAGAAUAGAAAACAGUUCAUGUUCAAGCAAUUAUACACCCACCUGGAGAAAAAAGGGAGGACAGCUCAAGGGAAAGAAGCAGUUUCAGAUGAGUCAGUUCAAGUCGGAAAUCAGGCAUCCGCCUGGAGAAUAAAGGCAAAGCAUCAGUUUCUGAAGAAUCAAUCUGAGUUGGAAAUCAGGCACCCACCUGGAGAACAAAGGGAAAGCAGUUCAAGUUUUGGAAAUCAGGCGCCCACCUGGAGAACAAAGGCAAAUCAAUUUAUGUUUUGGAAAUCAAGCGCCCAUCUGGAGAACAAAGGGAAACCGAUUCAAGUUUUAGAAAUCAGGCGCACCCGGAGAACAAAGGAAAAUCGGUUCGAGUUUUAAAAAUCAGGCGCCCACCUAGAGAACAAAGGGAAAGAAGUUCAAGUUUUGGAAAUCAGGUGCCCACCUAGAGAAUAAGGGAAAGCAGCUUAAGUUUUGGAAAUCAGGCGCCCACCUGGAGAACAAAAGGAAAGCGAUUCAAGUGUUGGUAAUUAGGUGCUCACAUCGAGAACAAAGCGAAACUGAUUCAAGUUUUUGAAAUCAGGUGCCCUCUUGGAGAACAAAGGGAAAGCGGUUCGAGUUUUGGAAAUCUAGCAUCCACUUGGAGAACAAAGGGAAAGAAGUUCAAGUUUUGGAAAUCAGGCGCCCACCUAGAGAACAAAGGGAAAGAAGUUCAAGUUUUGGAAAUCAGGUGCCCAUCUGUAGAAUAAAGGGAAAGUAGUUCACAUGUUGGAAAUACGACACUUACCCGAGAACAAAGAGAAAGCAGUUAAAGUUUUAGCAAUGAGGCAUCCACAUGGAGAACAAAGGAGAUAUAGUAAAAGUUUUGGUAAUCAGGCACCCACCUGGAAAGCAAGGGAAUAGAGCUAAAGUUUUGUUAAUCAGGUGCUCACCUGGAAAGUAAGGGAAUGCAGCUAAAGUUUUGGUAACCAGGCACCCACCUUGAGAACAAAGGGAAUACAGCUAAAUUUUAUGUAAUUAGGCGCGCACCUGGAAAGCAAGAGAAUACAACUAAGGUUUUGGUAAUCAAGCACCCACCUGGAGAGCAACGGAAUACGGCUAAUUUUUUGGCAAUCAGCCGCCCACUUGGAGAGCAAGGGAAUACAGUUAAUGUUUUGGCAAUCAGGCGCCCACCUGUAAAGCAAGGGAAUACAAUUAAAAUUUUUGCAAUCAGGCGCCUACCUGGAGAGCAAGGGAAUAUAAUUAAAGUGAUGGAAAUCAAGAACCUACCCAGAGAGCAAAGGGGAAGCAGUUCAAGUUUUGGUAAUCAGGAGCCCACCUGAAGAACGAAGGGAAGCAUUUCAAGUUUCGAGGAAAAGCAGCGUAAGUGUUGGUAAUUAGGUGCCCCCCUGAAGAAAAGGGAAAACAUCUCUGAUUAUAUAGAUAGGUAUUUUUUGUAAUGCAUAGAUCAUAGUUUAGUCUAGCUUCUUUUAUUUUAUCAUGGUGUAAUAAGGAGUUUAGUAAACAGUAUUAGUAGCAGGAACAACAACAGUAAAAUCACAGCUUCAUGGUAGUCCCAGCUACCGAAACAUCCCGAGCUAUACUGACAUGAUUCCUUUAUGGCCAAGGAUAUAUAGGCAACCUCAGGGAACGGUGUGCAACUACCAGUCAACUGGAACAUGUCACAUCUAAAGCGGUACCAAUGCUAAGUAAGAACACAAUUUUCUUUGAAAUUUGUUAUGCUUUGGACAAACAUAUGUUGGUACUCGAUCAAGGGUAAAUUUGAUAAUUAGC
rnacentral:lncRNA from 1 species